UCUCGCAUUCCUGACCACGAAAACAACUUUAUUUUUUAAAUCCUGCCCUGUGCUCCAGCUCCUCUCCUCCCGGAGCGCCACUGCCCAGGGAACUCCACACGCACAGACAAACACCAAAUAACACGAACCGGCGGAACCAUCGGCCCGCGGCCAGCGAGGAGCCACCUCAGGCUGAACAAUCCCAACUCUCUCAGCCUUUUAUGACAGCAGUAGUGUUCCAUCCCCCGAUCAUCCUGGUGCCUCCUCUGGAUAUUCCAACAGGUCCGUGUUCCUUCUCUGCUGGGACCCCAGAACUGGAGGGAGAAAGCAUCCAGCAGGCACUGAAAUGUGUCAAAAUCCUCGUCCACAACUGAAGGACAAUGGAAGCAACCUCUAAAUCAUGGUGCUCUUUGGCAAAAAUGAAUUAAGCUUGCCUUCCGAUUUUGUACGCUGGUCUUGCCAAGUGGGGUAGAUUGUGUUUGCUUGGUGGUUUGGUGUGGUUAAACAAAUAUUUAAAAAGUAAAUAUCUAUGCUUAAUUAAGUAUCACCAUUGUUUAUGUUUAAAUAAAAUGUUUAAAUUACAA